UGGGGAAUAUUGGACAAUGGGCGCAAGCCUGAUCCAGCCAUGCCGCGUGAGUGAUGAAGGCCCUAGGGUUGUAAAGCUCUUUCACCGGUGAAGAUAAUGACGGUAACCGGAGAAGAAGCCCCGGCUAACUUCGUGCCAGCAGCCGCGGUAAUACGAAGGGGGCUAGCGUUGUUCGGAUUUACUGGGCGUAAAGCGCACGUAGGCGGACUAUUAAGUCAGGGGUGAAAUCCCGGGGCUCAACCCCGGAACUGCCUUUGAUACUGGUAGUCUUGAGUUCGAGAGAGGUGAGUGGAAUUCCGAGUGUAGAGGUGAAAUUCGUAGAUAUUCGGAGGAACACCAGUGGCGAAGGCGGCUCACUGGCACGAUACUGACGCUGAGGUGCGAAAGCGUGGGGAGCAAACAGG
rnacentral:rRNA from 2 species